GUAGUCGUGGCCGAGUGGUUAAGGCCAUGGACUAGAAAUCCAUUGGGGUCUCCCUGUGCAGGUUCAAAGCCUGCUGACUAUG
rnacentral:tRNA from 1 species